rnacentral:misc_RNA from 1 species
UGCCUGUUCGAGCGUCAUUAUGACCACUCAAGCCUAGCUUGGUAUUGGGGUUCGCGGUCUCGCGGCCCUUAAAUCAGUGGCGGUGCAUCUGGCUCUAAGCGUAGUAACUUAUCUCGCUAUUGGGUCCGGUUGGUUGCUUGCCAACAACCCCAACUUCUAAGGUUGACCUCGGAUCAGGUAGGGAUACCCGCUGAACUUAA